rnacentral:rRNA from 1 species
GUUUGAUUCUGGCUCAGGAUGAACGCUAGCUACAGGCUUAACACAUGCAAGUCGCGGGGCAUCAUGGUGUGUAGCAAUACACACUGAUGGCGACCGGCGGAUGGGUGAGUAACGCGUAUCCAACCUGGCCCUAUCUCGGGCACAGCCCCUCGAAAGAGGGAUUAAUUCCCGAUGUUCCCACGAGUUCGCAUGUUCUUGUGGGCAAAGGCCUUUGCCGGAUAGGGAUGGGGAUGCGUUCCAUUAGGCAGUCGGCGGGUAACGGCCCACCGAGCCUUCGAUGGAUAGGGGUUCUGAGAGGAAGGCCCCCCACACUGGGACUGAGACACGGCCCAGACUCCUACGGGAGGCAGCAGUGAGGAAUAUUGGUCAAUGGCGGCAACGCUGAACCAGCCAAGUAGCGUGAGGGAUUACGGCCCUAUGGGUUUUAAACCUCUUUUGUUGGGGAGCAACCUGUGCCACUAGUGGCACACUGCGAGUACCCUUCGAAUAAGCAUCGGCUAACUCCGUGCCAGCCGCGGC